ACACGACUACAUUAGAUACCCGCGUAGUCCUAGCCGUAAACGAUACUCGCUAGGUGUCGGCCACGGUGCGACCGUUGUCGGUGCCGUAGGGAAGCCGUGAAGCGAGCCACCUGGGAAGUACGGCCGCAAGGCUGAACUUAAAGGAAUUGCGGGGGAGCACCACAACGGGUGGAGCCUGCGGUUUAAUUGGACUCAACGCCGGGAAGCUCACCGGAUAAGACAGCGGAAUGAUUGCCGGGCUGAAGACCCUGCAUGACCAGCUG
rnacentral:rRNA from 1 species